AACUUCGGGAAACCGGAGCUAAUACCGGAUAAUAUAUUGAACCGCAUGGUUCAAUAGUGAAAGACGGUUUUGCUGUCACUUAUAGAUGGAUCCGCGCCGCAUUAGCUAGUUGGUAAGGUAACGGCUUACCAAGGCAACGAUGCGUAGCCGACCUGAGAGGGUGAUCGGCCACACUGGAACUGAGACACGGUCCAGACUCCUACGGGAGGCAGCAGUAGGGAAUCUUCCGCAAUGGGCGAAAGCCUGACGGAGCAACGCCGCGUGAGUGAUGAAGGUCUUCGGAUCGUAAAACUCUGUUAUUAGGGAAGAACAAAUGUGUAAGUAACUAUGCACGUCUUGACGGUACCUAAUCAGAAAGCCACGGCUAACUACGUGCCAGCAGCCGCGGUAAUACGUAGGUGGCAAGCGUUAUCCGGAAUUAUUGGGCGUAAAGCGCGCGUAGGCGGU
rnacentral:rRNA from 1 species